rnacentral:rRNA from 1 species
GAGUUUGAUCUUGGCUCAGGACGAACGCUGGCGGCGUGCCUAACACAUGCAAGUCGAACGAGAAUCGUAUGACGGAGUUUUCGGACAACUGAGUACGAGGACAGUGGCGGACGGGUGAGUAACGCGUGAGCAACCUGCCUUUCAGUGGGGGACAACAGAGGGAAACUUCUGCUAAUACCGCAUAAUGUGCCGAGGGGGCAUCCCUUUGGCACCAAAGAUUUAUUGCUGAAAGAUGGGCUCGCGUCUGAUUAGAUAGUUGGUGAGGUAACGGCCUACCAAGUCGACGAUCAGUAGCCGGGUUGAGAGACU